GUCCACGCCGUAAACGAUGAGUGCUAGACGUCGGUGGGUUUACUCGCCGGUGUCGCAGCUAACGCUUUAAGCACUCCGCCUGGGGAGUACGGCCGCAAGGUUGAAACUCAAAGGAAUUGACGGGGGCCCGCACAAGCGGUGGAGCAUGUGGUUUAAUUCGACGCAACGCGAAGAACCUUACCAGCCCUUGACAUGGGGAGUAUGGGUCGCAGAGAUGUGACCCUUCAGUUCGGCUGGCUCCCACACAGGUGCUGCAUGGCUGUCGU
rnacentral:rRNA from 1 species